GUGUCCAAGGCUUUGCUGAAGUCCAGAGAUAAAACAUUUUCUGGAAGGAAGAGGAAGAUAAACUGACACAAAAUGAAACAAUUCUUCAUGUUAAAAAUACCCAGCAUGAAAACUCAGUUGUGAGGAAGGAUGCAGAAAUCCAGUGUGGAAGUCUUCACUGGCAUUUGACUCCCUCCUGUGAUCUGAUGAAACAAGGGAAAACCCAGGAAGCAAAUAUAAACAAGGAGAAGCUUCCUUGCUGUGUCUCACUUGCAGGAAAGUAAGGGAACACCACCUACAGGACAGGUAAGGAUAUCCUUUCGUGAAAAGAACCUAUU